UACGGAGGGUGCGAGCGUUGUCCGGAAUCACUGGGCGUAAAGGGCGCGUAGGCGGCGCGGAUAGUCGGCGGUGAAAGCCCGGAGCUCAACUCCGGGUCGGCCGUCGAUACUUCCGGGCUUGAGCACUGUAGAGGCAGAUGGAAUUCCGGGUGUAGCGGUGGAAUGCGUAAAGAUCCGGAAGAACACCGGUGGCGAAGGCGGUCUGCUGGGCAGUUGCUGACGCUGAUGCGC
rnacentral:rRNA from 1 species